AUUGAACGCUGGCGGCAGGCUUAACACAUGCAAGUCGAACGAGUGGCGGACGGGUGAGUAAUGCUUGGGAAUCUAGCUUAUGGAGGGGGAUAACUACGGGAAACUGUAGCUAAUACCGCGUACCAUAGGAUGAGCCCACGUGGGAUUAGGUAGUUGGCGGGGUAAAGGCUCACCAAGCCGACGAUCUCUAGCUGGUCUGAGAGGAUGACCGGCAACACGGGAACGGAGAAACGGCCCAGACUCCUACGGGAGGCAGCAGUGGGGAAUAUGGCGCAAUGGGGGCAAGCUGACGAAGACAGGCCGCGUGAAUGAAGAAGGCCUUCGGGUUGUAAAGUUCUGUCGGUAGGGAGGCGGUAACUACAGAAGAAGCAACGGCUAACUACGUGCCAGCAGCCGCGGUAAUAC
rnacentral:rRNA from 1 species